rnacentral:rRNA from 1 species
UACGGGGGGGGCAAGCGUUGUUCGGAAUUACUGGGCGUAAAGGGCUCGUAGGCGGCCAACUAAGUCAGACGUGAAAUCCCUCGGCUUAACCGGGGAACUGCGUCUGAUACUGGAUGGCUUGAGGUUGGGAGAGGGAUGCGGAAUUCCAGGUGUAGCGGUGAAAUGCGUAGAUAUCUGGAGGAACACCGGUGGCGAAGGCGGCGAUCCUGGACCAAUUCUGACGCUGAGGCGCGAAAGCCAGGGGAGCAAACGGGG